UACGAAGGGGGCUAGCGUUGUUCGGAAUUACUGGGCGUAAAGCGCGCGUAGGCGGCUUUGUAAGUUAGAGGUGAAGGCCCGGGAGCCUUAACUCCGGAAUUGCCUUUAAGACUGCAUCGCUAGAAUUGUGGAGAGGUAAGUGGAAUUCCGAGUGUAGAGGUGAAAUUCGUAGAUAUUCGGAAGAACACCAGUGGCGAAGGCGACUUACUGGACACAUAUUGACGCUGAGGUGCGAAAAGUGUGGGGAGCAAACAGG
rnacentral:rRNA from 1 species